AGCUUUAUGAAUCCGUGCCGAGACUUCAUCAGACACCAGGUCAUCAAGACUGGUGAUAAUCCAAAGAUAAGUGAGGUG
rfam:Schistosoma haematobium scaffold633_33, whole genome shotgun sequence.